GAGGCUGUAGCUCAGCAGCAGAGUGCUUGCAUAGCAUGCAUGAAGCACUGGGUUCGAUCCUCAGCACCUCCU
rnacentral:tRNA from 1 species